UUUUUUUUUUUUUUUUUAUUUCUCAGAAAUAGUUGACCCAAAAUCCCCAAAUUUUCCAAAAUUCCUCAAACCCUUUGGCCCCUAGAAUUUCUUUUUCCCUCGUCUCUCAUUUUCACACUCAAAUCUCUCUCUCUCUCUCCAUCUUCGCACUACUCAUCUCACUCCCAUUCCGACUCCUCCACCGGCAAGAGCACGAAUCUGCAGAGCAUCAAUGUCGAGGCACACUAUGAUAUGAGGAACCAGGGAUUCCAGACAGCUCGAAUUUGCUGAGCAAGUUGUUGAACGCGUAAACCCUAACAUUAGCUUGAAUCUGAUGCUCUAGAUCGACGACCCUCUGUGAUCUCCAAAUUCGCUCUUAAUCUCCAAAUUCGACUCCCUCAAGACAAUAUGAUAAAGUUCCUGGAUGCACAUUGCUCCGAACCUGGUGUGGUUCCAAUUACUCCAGAGGAGCUAUCUAUGAAGGUGCUCAAGUGAAGGUCGGGAUAUGUUAAAGGACUUGGUUUGAGGCCUUCGUCCUUGGUCAGGACUACCACUGCUUCUACUGACUGUGACUAUGUAAGGCAUCUGGAGAUGGAAAUACAAGAGCAAAAGGAGGAAAUUCAGUCACAAAAAGACGAAAUUAGAGCGUAGAAACAUGAAUUCAAGCACAAAAUUAUGUGAUAGCAAAGAUGAAUGAGUUGAGUGAGGAGCAUUUGGAGAUAACGUCAAGUAUCAUGGAGUUUCUUAAGAAACAAGGUUUCAACGGACAAUUUAGGGGAGGGGGCAUCCCAUGAACUCGUAGAUCGCCUUUUUGAUUGAUUUUUGAUGACAUUUGGAAGCAUACUUGUAAAUCAAGAUCAAGUGUUAAAU